rnacentral:rRNA from 1 species
UACAGGAGGUGGCAAGCGUUGUUCGGAAUUACUGGGCGUAAAGCGCGCGCAGGCGGCGGUGCUGGCCCGGCGUGAAAGCCCCCGGCUCAACCGGGGAGGGUCGUCGGGGACCGCACCGCUUGAGGGCGGUAGGGGCUGGUGGAAUGCCUGGUGUAGUGGUGAAAUGCGUAGAGAUCAGGCGGAACACCUGGGGCGAAGGCGGCCAGCUGGGCCGUCCCUGACGCUGAGGCGCGAAGGCGUGGGGAGCGAACGGG